rnacentral:tRNA from 1 species
GCACCCGUGGCUCAACUGGAUAGAGCACCUGACUACGGAUCAGGAGGUCGGGGGUUCGAAUCCUCCCAAGCGCGCCA